UUACCCAAUCCCGAUUCGGGGAGGUAGUGACAAUAAAUAACAAUACAGGGCCAACGGUCUUGUUAUUGGAAUGAGAACAAUUCAAAUAACUUAACGAGGAUCAAUUAGAGGGCAAGUCUGGUGCCAGCAGCCGCGGUAAUUCCAGCUCUAAUAGCGUAUAUUAAAGUUGUUGCAGUUAAAAAGCUCGUAGUCGGAUGUCGGGCUCGGGCAGGCUGUCGGCUUUGGUCGGACGGCAGGCUCGGGUCUUUCUGCCUGAGGAUCCCGUCACUUGAUUGUGGCGGGGGACGCAGGCCGUUUACUUUGAAAAAAUUAGAGUGUUCAAAGCAGGCCUACGCUUGAAUACAUUAGCAUGGAAUAAUGGAAUAGGACUUUGGUGCUAUUUUGUUGGUUUAUGGGACCGAAGUAAUGAUUAACAGGGACAGUUGGGGCCGUUUAUAUUUCGUUGUCAGAGGUGAAAUUCUUGGAUUUACGAAAGAUAAACUUCUGCGAAAGCAUUCGGCAAGGAUGUUUUCAUUGAUCAAGAACGAAAGUUAGGGGAUCGAAGACGAUCAGAUACCGUCGUAGUCUUAACCAUAAACUAUGCCGACUAGGGAUCAGUGGAUGUCAAUUUGCGACUCCAUUGGCACCUUGUGAGAAAUCAAAGUUUUUGGGUUCCGGGGGGAGUAUGGUCGCAAGGCUGAAACUUAAAGGAAUUGACGGAAGGGCACCACCAGGAGUGGAGCCUGCGGCUUAAUUUGACUCAACACGGGGAAACUUACCAGGUCCAGACAUAGUAAGGAUUGACAGAUUGAAAGCUCUUUCUUGACUCUAUGGGUGGUGGUG
rnacentral:rRNA from 1 species